rnacentral:rRNA from 1 species
UACGAAGGGGGCUAGCGUUGUUCGGAAUCACUGGGCGUAAAGCGCACGCAGGCCGAUCGUUAAGUCAGGGGUGAAAUGCCAAGGCUCAACCUUGGAACUGCCUCUGAUACUGGCGAUCUUCGAGUCCGGGAGAGGUGAGUGGAACUCCGAGUGUAGAGGUGAAAUUCGUAGAUAUUCGGAAGAACACCAGUGGCGAAGGCGGCUCACUGGCCCGGUACUGACGCUCAGGUGCGAAAGCGUGGGGAGCAAACAGG